rnacentral:rRNA from 1 species
UUAUUUAAGAGUUUGAUCCUGGCUCAGGAUGAACGCUGGCGGCGUGCCUAACACAUGCAAGUCGAGCGGGAAAUCCGUGACGGAUCCUUCGGGUGACGGAUCGGAUGGAGAGC